GACGAACGCUGGCGGCGUGCUUAACACAUGCAAGUCGUACGGUAAGGCCCUUUCGGGGGUACACGAGUGGCGAACGGGUGAGUAACACGUGAGUAACCUGCCCACAACUUUGGGAUAACGCUAGGAAACUGGUGCUAAUACUGGAUAUGUGCUCCUGCUGCAUGGUGGGGGUUGGAAAGCUCCGGCGGUUGUGGAUGGACUCGCGGCCUAUCAGCUUGUUGGUGGGGUAGUGGCCUACCAAGGCGGCGACGGGUAGCCGGCCUGAGAGGGUGACCGGCCACAUUGGGACUGAGAUACGGCCCAGACUCCUACGGGAGGCAGCAGUGGGGAAUAUUGCACAAUGGGCGCAAGCCUGAUGCAGCAACGCCGCGUGCGGGAUGACGGCCUUUGGGUUGUAAACCGCUUUCAGCAGGGACGAAGCUUUUUGUGACGGUACCUGCAGAAGAAGCACCGGCUAACUACGUG
rnacentral:rRNA from 1 species